GACGAACGCUGGCGGCGUGCCUAAUACAUGCAAGUCGAACGCCUCCUACCGGUGCUUGCACCGGGAAAGAAGAGUGGCGGACGGGUGAGUAACACGUGGGUAACCUACCUACAAGCGGGGGAGAACAUUCGGAAACGGGUGCUAAUACCGCAUAAUAACUUCUUCCGCAUGGAAGAAGAUUGAAAGACGGCUCUGCUGUCACUUAGUGAUGACCUUGCGGUGCAUUAGUUAGUUGGUGGGGUAACGGCCUACCAAGACGAUGAUGCAUAGCCGACCUGAGAGGGUGAUCGGCCACAUUGGGACUGAGACACGGCCCAAACUCCUACGGGAGGCAGCAGUAGGGAAUCUUCCGCAAUGGGCGAAAGCCUGACGGAGCAAUGCCGCGUGAGUGAAGAAGGCCUUCGGGUCGUAAAACUCUGUUAUAAGAGAAGAACAAAUUGUAGAGUAACUGCUACAGUCUUGACGGUAUCUUAUCAGAAAGCCACGGCUAACUACGUGCCAGCAGCCGCGGUAA
rnacentral:rRNA from 1 species